UACGUAGGGGCAAGCGUUGUCCGGAUUUAUUGGGCGUAAAGAGCGUGUAGGCGGCUAGGUAGGUCCGUUGUGAAAACUCGAGCUCAACCUCGAGACGCCGGUGGAAACCAUCUAGCUAGAGUCCGGAAGAGGAGAGUGGAAUUCCUGGUGUAGCGGUGAAAUGCGCAGAUAUCAGGAAGAACACCCGUGGCGAAGGCGGCUCUCUGGGACGUGACUGACGCUGAGACGCGAAAGCGUGGGGAGCGAACAGG
rnacentral:rRNA from 1 species